CUAAGUCAAAGCCUUAGUAAUUCAUUUAACUCCUCUUACAUGAGUAGCGACAAUGAGUCAGAUAUCGAAGAUGAAGACUUAAAGUUAGAGCUGCGACGACUACGAGAUAAACAUCUCAAAGAGAUUCAGGACCUGCAGAGUCGCCAGAAGCAUGAAAUUGAAUCUUUGUAUACCAAACUGGGCAAGGUGCCCCCUGCUGUUAUUAUUCCCCCAGCUGCUCCCCUUUCAGGGAGAAGACGACGACCCACUAAAAGCAAAGGCAGCAAAUCUAGUCGAAGCAGUUCCUUGGGGAAUAAAAGCCCCCAGCUUUCAGGUAACCUGUCUGGUCAGAGUGCAGCUUCAGUCUUGCACCCCCAGCAGACCCUCCACCCUCCUGGCAACAUCCCAGAGUCCGGGCAGAAUCAGCUGUUACAGCCCCUUAAGCCAUCUCCCUCCAGUGACAACCUCUAUUCAGCCUUCACCAGUGAUGGUGCCAUUUCAGUACCAAGCCUUUCUGCUCCAGGUCAAGGUAAUAAAGCAACCAUCAUCAUCCAAAAACAAUAAAAUGGAGAUGUUGCCAUACCUGGGACAAAAGCCUGUUAAGGCGGGUUGGGAGACUAGCUGACCAGAACACAGCCUGUGUGUUGUACACUGAAGAAUCUGGGUGAAAAGGGAAGUGGAGUGAUAAUGAGAAUCGGUGGGCUCGCUGCUCCCAUUAGGUGAAAUUACUUUUUUUCAAGGAAUUACAGUGAAAAGUUACAUCUGUGUGGCCUAUAUGACUUGCUCAUUUGGGAUUUGGAACUUACACUUUAAUAUUAGGCUGAGAUUUCCUGGAUGAAAUUCUAAGGUGUUUUAGCAGUUUCUGAAAGCUAAUACAUUUUCUUAGCCAUUGUAGAAUUUUAUUACUUUUAAGUAUGGGAGUGGCAUACUAAAA
rnacentral:sRNA from 1 species